UACAGAGGGGGCAAGCGUUAUUCGGAAUUAUUGGGCGUAAAGGGCGCGUAGGCGGCUACACAAGUGGCGGGUGAAAUCCCUCGGCUUAACCGAGGAACUGCCUGCCAGACUGUGUGGCUUGAGACCGGGAGAGGUGAGUGGAAUUCCCAGUGUAGCGGUGAAAUGCGUAGAUAUUGGGAGGAACACCAGUGGCGAAGGCGGCUCACUGGACCGGAACUGACGCUGAGGCACGAAAGCGUGGGGAGCAAACAGG
rnacentral:rRNA from 1 species